rnacentral:rRNA from 1 species
AUUGAACGCUGGCGGCAGGCCUAACACAUGCAAGUCGAGCGAGCGGCGGACGGGGGAGUAAGGUAUGGGGACUGCCCGAUAGAGGGCGAUAACUACUGGAAACGGUAGCUAAUACGGCAUACUAUCGGAUAACCCAUAUGGGAUUAGCUAGUAGGUGAGGUAAUGGCGCACUUAGGCGACGAUCCCUAGAUGGUCUUAGAGGAGUCACAGCCACACGGGGACUGCGUCACGGCCCACACGCCUACGGAGGCAGCAGUGGGGAAUAUUGGAGAAUGGGCGAGAGGCUGAUGCAGGCAGGCCGCGUGUAUGAAGAAGGCCCUAGGGUUGUAAAGUACCUUCAGGCGGGAUGCGUUUCCGACUGAAGGAGCACCGGCUAACUCCGUGCCAGCAGCCGCGGUAAUAC